rfam:Hordeum vulgare subsp. vulgare, WGS project CAJW01000000 data, contig: morex_contig_40983
UUUAUACUCCCUCCGUCCCAAAAUAAGUGACUCAAAAAUGACUCACUUUUGUACUAACUUUAGUACGUACAAAAUAGAGUCACUUUUGAGUCACUUAUUUUGGGACGGAGGGAGUACAUC